UACGGGGGGUGCAAGCGUUAUCCGGAUUCACUGGGUUUAAAGGGUGCGUAGGUGGUCAAGUAAGUCGGUGGUGAAAUCUCCGGGCUUAACCCGGAAACUGCCAUUGAUACUAUUUGUCUUGAAUACUGUGGAGGUCAGCGGAAUAUGUCAUGUAGCGGUGAAAUGCUUAGAUAUGACAUAGAACACCAAUGGCGAAGGCAGCUGGCUAGACAAAUAUUGACACUGAGGCACGAAAGCGUGGGGAGCAAACAGG
rnacentral:rRNA from 1 species